ensembl:lncRNA
UCCUUUUAUGAGGGUCUUGACAAACACGCCUCAAAGCUGCUGUAUUUGUACCGCUUGAGGCGCCAUGCAGACAUCGCAGAAAGGAGUGCCAUACUGGAGCGCCUGGAUAAAAAUGCAUCAAAUCACAGGAAGAUUGUUGCAGUACUGCUGGGGCUGCCACUGUCCAUGCGGGAGAAUCCAUCUCAGUUCUUACAGAUCUGUGAGCACACAGAUUCUGAAGAAGAGUUAAUCAAGGGCGUGACUGUUGGAAUCAGUACAGUUGUGGAUGACGCGAUGGACCCUAUUCCGUGUGACUGCGGUGAUGUAGCCCUUGUAAUGG